AUUUCCUUCUCGACCCACUUGUUUGUAUACAACCACGCCCGGCAGGAUGACCACCAGAUGACCGGCCGCAGCAAUGCCUCCACUCAGUCCCAGUUGGGCAAAGUUUCACUCCACUGCGGCGACGUGAACAAGAAUCACGGCUUCCUUAUCGGUACCUGCCACAACACAUGGGAAUUAUGGGAGUACAAUUUAAGAUGAGAUAUGGAUGAGAACACAGAGCCAAACCAUAUCAACUCUAUCUUCAUGUUUGUUUACAUUUCUCUCAACUGGUAUGUUUUGUGACCCAGAAUGUGAUCCUGGUAAACAUUCCAUUUGAGAAGAAUGUGUAUUCUGCUGUUGUUGGGAAGCUGCGUUGUCAUUGAUGAAGGAAUAUUUCGAAGCGCUGAACAAUUCUUGAUAAAGUUCCGAAACAAACAAAGCACAAUCUUCCCUCGAUUUACAUGGGAGUUGCAUUCCUGGAAAAUUCAGUAUAUUUUAAAACCAUGCAAAAUAUCCUUUUAAAAAAAUAUGUAACAUGGAGUUUAGGACCAAGGCUCAGGAAUAUUUCCAAUCCAUGGUUGGGUGCGGAACCUGCGGAUACAGAGGACUGACUAUAAUAUCAAGGAGAUCAUAAGGCUGUCGGAAUGGACUCUUUGUGGCAAUAAGAUACCAUAUUAUAAACAGGACCCAAGGUCAUGCCAGGGAGGCUCGUGUGGUCCCUGUUUGUCAUCCAGUCAAUACGGCCAUCAGCUUCUGGCCCCAGACACCUUUCCUCUGCACUGUGGCACAGAGGAGCAGACUGCUUUGGAGGGCAGCUUCCUGGGAGCUCCAGGGACCCUGGCCAGGCGGCCACUGCCACUGACUUCCUCGGCUCACUGAGCCCGUGCCUGCAGCUCUCGUGUUUCCUCUGUGCUGCAGUGGACGCUUAUCUUCCCCCGAUGGCACAUUUCUUUGUCACAGACAGGACCCUCACUGGCAGUCGGAGGGACAUCAAGCCCUAGUACAGGAAGGGACAUUUUCACACUAAUCUGUGCCAGCUGGAGCAGUCCUGCCAUCUGAACAUCAUAUUUUGGAACCCUGAGAAGCUAGGAUGCAGUUAACAGGCUAGAUGUCAAUUCCCUGCAGGCAGAGACCAGUUCUCUGCUGCCAUGUCUUUAAGGCCUGAUGCACCAUAGAUUAAUUCAAAUCCAGUGUCUACCACUCACUCGGCUUAAUGUAAGACAAGAUGAAGACUCCAGACUUCAGAACUUCAGUGUCCGGCAGAUGAGGAUUUUAAAUGCUUCGCCUACAACCUCAAUUGUUGUGGAGCCAAAGAUGCAACAGCUUUGAAGAAUAGAAGAAUUACUCUAUAUUUGUCAGGAUCUACGUGGCAAACAAGCGCCACUUGGCUUACAUUACUUGCCUGGCUUGGAUCCCAUGGAAUGGAGGAGCAUUGGAACCAAGAGGAAAAAAAUUAAAGUGCUUUGGGACAGCGAGCCAAACUCUUACAUAGUAUUUGAAAUGGUGUGGCAAACAUGAAAUUAUUUUAGGCUCAAGAUUGGUGCUAGUUUUUUACCCUCUUUUUGAAAAAAUAGUAAAAUGCACAUAAAGGGCCCUGCCAGAGGUUUAGCUCAUAAAAUCUGCCAAUCAUUGGAUGUGCUAAUUGGUGUAGCAAUCCAGUGGUGGCCUGGAUUAGGACUCAAAAACUGACCCUUACCACCCUUGGUGUCCUGCAGCAAAGACAGCCUAAAUCGAAAAGACUGAUGGAAGUAUAUCAAAUUACGAAUUUCUCUAUCCCUGAAAAAUGCCUGCAAUUUCUGUUUCUCCAUCACUCCAGAAAUACUCAAAACAGCAAAAAUUAAAUACAUAUGAAGUGAACACAAAAGACCUCCACAGAAAAAUCAGUGGCUCAUCUGUUGACGCUAUUGCUCAUUGCUCGGCUGGCCAGUCAUCUGGGCUAAGUUUUGACUUUGGGCCAGUGCUUCAAAAUCAGCAACCUUUCAGCCAAAAGACUGUGGAAUGCAGCCAAGACCACCUGUGGAAAGUGAAUUAUAGCAUCUUUAAUUUACUACCUUGGGCUAUGAUGUCAGAAACCCAGCAUGGAGGGCGCACCAGUUCUUGUGUGGGAAAUCUCUCAGAGCCCCCAUGGAGGCCCCCAAAGUGGCUCUGGCAAAGCUGUAGGGGUGGAGGUAACAAAAAAGGGGACACCUGGCUCUCCUUCUUAAAUCAGCUCACCAUGGGCACACAUUUAUAUUGGAAUUUUAGGGUCAGAAAAUACCAAAAUUAAAUCUUCUAGAAG
rnacentral:lncRNA from 1 species